AUGUAAGGCAAUCUGUUUUUAAGGUGGGGUAAAUUUCAGGAAAACAAAAGAGUCCUAGGGAGCUUUCCUUUCAAGUCAAGAGUCUUUU
rnacentral:pre_miRNA from 1 species